rnacentral:rRNA from 1 species
UGGGAACGUGCCUUUUGGUUCGGAACAACCCAGGGAAACUUGGGCUAAUACCGGAUAAGCCCUUACGGGGAAAGAUUUAUCGCCAAGAGAUCGGCCCGCGUCUGAUUAGCUAGUUGGUGAGGUAACGGCUCACCAAGGCGACGAUCAGUAGCUGGUCUGAGAGGAUGAUCAGCCACACUGGGACUGAGACACGGCCCAGACUCCUACGGGAGGCAG